CUCUUAUCCAGAGAGGUGGAGGGACUGGCCCGAUGAAACCCGGCAACCUUUGCACGGUUCCUGUGCAAAAAGGUGCCAAUUCCUGCAAAGCCGUUUAGGUUUUGAAAGAUAAGAG
rnacentral:ncRNA from 1 species